ensembl:lncRNA novel transcript
GUGCUAUGGAGGACCUGCUUACUGCUAUGAGGUGUUACUUUAUAGAGGUCCUGGAGAAGCUGAUUGAGGCCACGUCAAUGUUGCAAGGAGACAUGAGACUCACAUCAGAGUUCUAUGGCUUAACAUGGGGGAUGGUGUGAAAAGAACCAGAGAUCCUUGGGGAAAUGUCUGAUUCUAAGAUAUUUCUAAGGCUGGUGAAAAAAUAUAUAAGAUAAGCCUGGAGGAGAAGGACCAGUAAUACCAGAAAUCAAGGAGGGGCCUUGAAGAGAAAAGGAUAGCAAAAGGAUGAAGACCUGUCCAAGACCCAGCAGCCAGCAUGAAAGAGCUCUCAAUGGGGAAAGCUGGAACAAUUUCAACAACAAAAUAAAUAACAUAUCACUGGAUUAUAA